UACGAAGGGGGCUAGCGUUGUUCGGAAUUACUGGGCGUAAAGCGUGCGCAGGCGGCUUCUCAAGUCAGUGGUGAAAGCCCGGAGCUCAACUCCGGAACUGCCAUUGAAACUGUGAAGCUUGAGGACGAGAGAGGUGAGUGGAAUUCCCAGUGUAGAGGUGAAAUUCGUAGAUAUUGGGAAGAACACCGGUGGCGAAGGCGGCUCACUGGCUCGUUUCUGACGCUCAGGCACGAUAGCGUGGGGAUCAAACAGG
rnacentral:rRNA from 1 species